rnacentral:rRNA from 1 species
GUCUUUUUGUUAAUAAUUUAAAGUYUAAUCUGCCCACUGAAAAAUUUUUAAAGGGCUGCAGUAUAUUGACUGUACAAAGGUAGCAUAAUCACUAUUCUUUUAAUUGAAGACUUGUAUGAAUGAUUUGAUGAGAUAUAAACUGUCUUUUUUUUAUUAGUAGAAUUUAAUUUUUUAGUUAAAAAGCUAAAAUUUUUUUAAAAGACGAGAAGACCCUAUAGAGUUUAAUUUUUUAAUUUUUAUUAAUAUUUUAUAAAAUUUUUAAUUAAUAAAAAUUAAAAAAUUUUGUUGGGGUGAUAGAAAAAUUUAUAAAACUUUUUUUGAAAUAAUUGACAUUAAUUUAUGAUUUUUUGAUCCAUAAUUUAUGAUUAAAAGAUUAAAUUACCUUAGGGAUAACAGCGUAAUUUUUUUUUUUAGUUCAAAUAAAAAUUAAAGUUUGCGACCUCGAUGUUGGAUUAARAUAAAAUUUAAAUGUAAAAGUUUAAAAUUUUGAUCUGUUCGAUCAUUAAAAUCUU